rnacentral:rRNA from 1 species
CCUACGGGAGGCAGCAGUGAGGAAUAUUGGUCAAUGGGCGGGAGCCUGAACCAGCCAAGUCGCGUGAGGGAAGACGGUCCUAUGGAUUGUAAACCUCUUUAGGCGGGGAGAAAUGCCGGGCACGCGUGCCCGGAGGGAGAGUACCCGCAGAAUAAGCAUCGGCAAACUCCGUGCCAGCAGCCGCGGUAAUACGGAGGAUGCGAGGGUUAUCCGGUUUUAUUGGGUUAAAGGGGUGCGGAGGCGGAUUUUUAGGUCUGCGGUAAAAUGUCGGGGCUCAACCCGGGCCGGCCUUUGAAACUGGGGGUCUUGAGUGGGCGAGAAGUAUGCGGAAUGCGUGGUGUAGCGGUGAAAUGCAUAGAUAUCACGCAGAACUCCGAUUGCGAAGGCAGCAUACCGGCGCCCGACUGACGCUGAGGCACGAAAGCGUGGGGAUCGAACAGGAUUAGAUACCCCAGUAGUC